UACGUAGGGUGCGAGCGUUAAUCGGAAUUACUGGGCGUAAAGCGUGCGCAGGCGGCUUUUUAAGCCAGAUGUGAAAUCCCCGGGCUUAACCUGGGAACUGCAUUUGGAACUGGAAGGCUAGAGUGCGGCAGAGGAGAGUGGAAUUCCCGGUGUAGCAGUGAAAUGCGUAGAGAUCGGGAGGAACAUCAGUUGCGAAGGCGGCUCUCUGGACCAGUACUGACGCUGAGGCACGAAAGCGUGGGGAGCAAACAGG
rnacentral:rRNA from 1 species